rnacentral:rRNA from 1 species
UACGUAGGGAGCGAGCGUUGUCCGGAUUCAUUGGGCGUAAAGAGCUCGUAGGCGGCUUGAUUAGUCGGAUGUGAAACCUCCAGGCUCAACCUGGAGUCGCCAUCCGAUACUGUCAUGGCUAGAGUCCGGUAGGGGCCCACGGAAUUCCUGGUGUAGCGGUGAAAUGCGCAGAUAUCAGGAGGAACACCUGUGGCGAAAGCGGCUCACUGGACCACAACUGACGCUGAGGCGCGAAAGCUAGGGGAGCAAACAGG